rnacentral:tRNA from 1 species
GCCUAGUUAGCUUAGUCAAUAGUGCGUCUGCCUUGUAAGCGCUAGGCCGCGGGUUCGAUUCCCGCCCGGGGCG